rnacentral:rRNA from 1 species
AUUGAACGCUGGCGGCAUGCCUAACACAUGCAAGUCGAACGGUAACAGACCGCUGGGAUCCCUUCGGGGUGACCUUGGUGCUGACGAGUGGCGACGGGUGAGUAACACUUGGGAAUCUGCCCAGUAGUGGGGGACAACCCGGGGAAACCCGGGCUAAUACCGCAUACGCCCUACGGGGAAAGGGGGCCUCUUCUUGAAAGCUCUCGCUAUUGGAUGAGCCCAAGUCGGAUUAGCUUGUUGGUGAGGUAAAAGCUCACCAAGGCGACGAUCCGUAGCUGGUCUGAGAGGACGAUCAGCCACACUGGGACUGAGACACGGCCCAGACUCCUACGGGAGGCAGCAGUGGGGAAUAUUGGACAAUGGGCGAAAGCCUGAUCCAGCAAUGCCGCGUGUGUGAAGAAGGCCUGCGGGUUGUAAAGCACUUUCAGUGGAGAAGAAAGCCGGACGCUAAUACCGACCGGUCUUGACGUAACCUACAGAAGAAGCACCGGCUAACUCCGUG